rnacentral:lncRNA from 1 species
UCGUAAGUAAAUUUUAUUUUUGUGUCUUCAGUCGAUCAAACAAGAAUCUAUUCUGAAAGCCAAGUAGAAUUGACAUCCUAUUGACUACCGGAGUAUAAGCAACUUUCAAUAUUUGUCGCUCCAAUUGUGAGAAUCACAAAGGUGAGUGAAUACGAGUAUUAGUGAGAAACUUUUACUACUAAUCUUGUUUGUUCAUUUUGUAGGUUCAAAAGGUGAUAUAAGGGGAAUAUGUCUUUGAUAGUCGGGGAUUAUUGUGAAUACAACAUGGGAGACUAUGGUUGUAGUGAGAGGUUUUAUGGCAACGAAGUUGAGGGAGAUUGCGGAGGCUAUGAAAAUAGCCAUGAUCAAAACAUAGGCAAAUGUUAAAGUUACUGUUUGAGGGAGAAAAUGAGGUGAAUGAAGUGCCUAGUGGUUAUGGUGACUUUGGAGAUGAUGUAGGACCUCGUGAUGGAUCUUAUGAUAAAGUUGAGACAUGUGAGAAGUCUUGCACUCCCCACUCCGAACCUAUAUUUGGUGUUAGGUAUAACCCUUUUAUUUGCAAACCUUAUAAGAGCUAUGAUGAGAGUACACGUGAGGAGUGUGAAGAUUCAUAUUCUCCACCUUGUAGUACUUCUUUUCAAGGUCAAUAUAGUGCGAAUGGUUAUACUAGCUAUAGUGUAGGUUAUCCAAUGAGAAGAAGAUGGUAUGCAUCUCCAAAACCGAGGGGUACUCAUGUGCUUUACAAUGUUGAUCUGAGAAGGAGUGUACACUCUGAAAAGGUGACCAUUUGUGGGAUACCGGGCUUCCUCAUUGUGUUAAAUGAUAGGUACUAUAGAAACUACAUUAUUUUAUCCAUGGUUGAUUACUUGGGGUUAUUUUGCUAGCAUUUACUUGUUCCAUACUUCUUGAACAGGUUUAAGGUUACCGAGAGGGUAAAAAUUAUCUUCUCCCAAUUUAAUUACCAUGAGGAGGUGUGGUGUGAUGUUUUUUCCAUAACCUAUGGUCAUAUGAGCUUGGGUGCCGAUUGGUUUGCACAACAUAAAUUUCCAAAUAUGCAAAAUUAGUCUAAUAUUAUAAGAUAUCGAUGGGGAAAUUGCCUCGAGACGUACAUUCUGACCGGGCCAUAAAAAGAAGUUCCUACUUACUCCAAUUUGAAUUAUUAUGAGAGACAAAAUAUUGAGAGAAGUAAAAGAGUGAAAGAUGGUAAUCUAAGAGUGGAAAAAGGAGAGGUUGUGUUGAGCGAAGUGAGGGGAUUACCACCAAACCAUGCUAACUUUGGUUUUCCUUCUAUUUCUAUGUAUAUUUGUGUAGGUACCAACAUGGCAAGCGAACGAGACCAAUGUCAAAAGGAAGUUGCUGCCCAAGCUUAUGGGGGACCUUCACCUUAUGGCAAGAAAGAGUCUACUCAAGAUCUUCAAGGUAAAAUAGCUAAACUCUUACACUUUAAUGCAUGUGAAUGAUAAUUGUAUGGCUAGUAAUCCAUUGAGUGUGAGUAGUAGCUUACUUAUUUAUGAGUCUAAUAAUUCCUUGCCUCUUGUUGAUGAUGCACAUAUUGUGAGUGUGGAUACACUAGUUGAUCCUAUUGAUGACGAAAUUGACUCUUCUUGUGAGAUCAAUUUAUGUCUACCUAGUGUUGAAGCCUAUAUGUUGAAUGGAAGUACAUCGUCUUGUGUAAUGGGUGUUGAUCAACUUGUUUGUGAAAACUAUCCACCACUUGGGUAUGUGUAUGAUGUGCUUAAUAGGACUCAAUUGAGUGAAGUAUUUGAAAAUGUUGGUCAACAAAGUGAGAAUGAACUCGAGAGCUCUUCUUGGGGUAAUAUUGUGUUUGAAACAUCCUUGAAACUUGAUAUUGAUCAUUUAGAGAGUGAGGAGAUUGCUUGUUCCAAAUCUAUCCGUGAGGUAGAUCACACUCUUUUUAGGUAUAAUGUCUUGUUUGAAGAUGAUUUAAACACUCCUAAUGAACCUAGUGGUGAAAAUGAUGGUAUAGCUUGCCUUGGAAGCUAUAGCCUAUAUGCUAACCCACUACGGUGUGACAACAUUCCUCCUAAAGAUGGAAAUCUCUUCUUGGAAGAUGAGAGUACUCUUAAGGGUAACGAAUAUGUAGUUGCGGAAGCUACUUCUUCUUCUACUUUGUGUGAUUUCAUUGUUGAGAGUACUCAUGGUGAUUAUUGGGAAACUAGUAGUGAGUACACACAUGAGAGCACCUUAGUAGAAGUCGAUUUGAGUGAUAACUUUCUCUACUCUCUAUUUUCUUUAGAUGAUAUGUAUGUUAUUGUAGAGAGUAUGUCAUUUAGUUUGGGUGUAGACCACGGGAAAGGGAAGUGUUGUCGAGACCAGUGUCUAUGGCCACUUUUUCUAUUAGACCUCGGUGCCAAAUUUAGAAAUGGUGAUGUUGGUGCACCAAACUUGUUGCUUGGUCGACAUGACAAACAAAGUGUCACUCUUGAUGAUCCUAUAACCAAAUUCUUUGUAGAUCUUUUAUUGAGUUUUUAAUAUUCCUUUCAAAGGAUUCUUGGUUAUAUUGCAAAUAUGUGCAACCUUGGCAUGUUGAGAUGAUUUGUUAUGCUAACCCUAACCCUCAUGCCAUAAGGAGUUUGUAUUUUUUUGUCCUCUCUUUGGUUUUGCAAGGUUUGGAUUCGAGGUCGAAUUCUGUUCAAGGAUGAUAUGGGACAAAUGGCCAUCUUAUCUUUUGAUGACAUCUUUGGAGGCCAACACAUAGAGGCUCAAGACUUGGUCACCUCGAGAAUACAAGAACAUGAAUGGAGGACCUGUUUUGAGCAUAACUUUAAGCAAUAUCGCGUGUGGAAGAUUGCUUGGAGCAUUUAAGAUUGAGAAAUCACAAUUUUGGACCUUAAUUAAGGGCAUUUUGGACAUUACACAUGUUGUAUUUACACACCAUGGCCGCACCUAUCAUUAAGGGCAAAGUGGUCUUUUUGUCUUCUUUUGUAUUACACUAUAAACAGGUCAUUUUAGCUCAUUUCUUUGCAUAUUUUGAAUGAUGAAGAAUUGAAAGACAUAUUUUCUCUCUUUUGAGAGUGUAACACCCUUAGUU